AGAUGGGGUGUCGGGGAGAAAGAGAAAGAAGUUGUUAGAGAGAGAAAAAUAUAAAAACAUGAGAUUUUAUUUCUUAAAUCCAGUACAUCCUUUCUUUAAUCUACAUUCACUGUUUAUAUAUAUGAAUCGGCAUAAAUAUCUUCAUUUGGGUAUCAAAUUCCAGAAGCCACAAUUCAAAGCCAGGGAUGCGUUAAAUCAAAGGAAGAAGACGAGCAGCUGUGAGUCGAUUCAAGAUUGAAGGAGUGUUUCAGCAGAGAAAGUUGGCUCAAUUCACAUAGCAAAGACGAUGGUUCAGAAUGGUAUGACAUUUCAGGUUUUUGAUUUACUUUAGACACUGCCACUUGGCUUUCAAGAGGGGAUUCUGUGAAGUCAGUUCCAUUUUUCUCUUCGUACUCCUUUUUUUUUUUUUUUUGUUCUCUGUAUCUUGGCUCAUUAUGCGGUGUUUACAUCUAGUUCUCAACAGUUUCCU
rnacentral:lncRNA from 1 species